rnacentral:pre_miRNA from 1 species
ACUAUAUACGGACCGUCGGUCUACCGAGCAAUAUCACCCGCUCGGUGAAGGGUCUUCCCAUUGUCGU